rnacentral:rRNA from 1 species
GAUGAACGCUGGCGGCGUGCCUAAUACAUGCAAGUCGAGCGAACAGAUGAGGAGCUUGCUCCUCUGACGUUAGCGGCGGACGGGUGAGUAACACGUGGAUAACCUACCUAUAAGACUGGGAUAACUUCGGGAAACCGGAGCUAAUACCGGAUAAUAUAUUGAACCGCAUGGUUCAAUAGUGAAAGACGGUUUUGCUGUCACUUAUAGAUGGAUCCGCGCCGCAUUAGCUAGUUGGUAAGGUAACGGCUUACCAAGGCAACGAUGCGUAGCCGACCUGAGAGGGUGAUCGGCCACACUGAAACUGAGACACGGUCCAGACUCCUACGGGAGGCAGAAGUAGGGAAUCUUCCGCAAUGGGCGAAAGCCUGACGGAGCAACGCCGCGUGAGUGAUGAAGGUCUUCGGAUCGUAAAACUCUGUUAUUAGGGAAGAACAAAUGUGUAAGUAACUAUGCACGUCUUGACGGUACCUAAUCAGAAAGCCACGGCUAACUACGU